rnacentral:lncRNA from 1 species
GAGAGAGAGAGAGAGAGGGGAAAACAAGAGAAAGAGAGAAACAAAAGCAAAAUCCGACUUGCCGAAGUCUAGAUCUGGCCCACAAGAGGCUAGAUUUGGCUCAAAUGUGGCAAGAUCAGGAGAGACCACAGCCGCAACAGGGCGGAUGCUUCUUCUCACAAGGUAGUGGUGGUGGCAGCUACAGCAGGGCGGUGGUAGAGGCUGCUAUUGUGUCUCCAUUGGCUCAUUUGGUGCAUGAAAUAUCAUCAAACCAAAAGGUAAUUGUCCUUUCCAUAGCCUUGUUUGAGUUGAUUGUAUUCCAUGCUCUUGUUCAGUUAAUGUACUAUGAUUCCUAGUACAAUGUUUCUUCUCUUGUUUAGCUUCCAUUUCGAUGAGUAUUUCUUGAUGACAUUUUCUGAGAUGUUUGACUAUAUAUCAGCAAGAUUUUUAGCCAUUAGACAUCUUUAAACACCCUUUCUACAAGAUACUAUGCUAAAUUUUUAUUCCCCACAAGUUUGAUCUAAUUUCCACGCACUAGUUCAUAGCUUCAUCUAAUUCCCACACACUAGUUCGUCAUGGGUCAUCAUGCCUCCUUUUUCUUGCGUUUGAAUCCAAAUUGCAUGUCAAUCUUAAGGUUUUGCGUUUCAUUUAUGUUUUGGGAUCUCCCUUAUUAGCUUUCCUAAAAACUAGAUGUAUAUGAACCAUACCUGUAGCUCUACUAAAAGGCACUUCAUCAUGGUUUGCAGUUAAGUCGCAUGGCGGUAAGCCAGAAUUGAGCUCGUUUUGACUUCCUAUGCUUAAGGGAUCAUUUUGCACGCAUAUGAUUCUAUGCAUGUAAUUUAGAGAUUUAUAUUGGCUUGGAAUUUGAUUUACUUGUUUGUACCCGUCAUAUGACGUAUGCAUGUUGUUGAAAUUUUAGUGAAGGUCACGUAAUUCAUGUUACAAUCAAUCUCUAAUUGAGUUUCAGUGAGUAGAACUCAUCUCAAGUAAGGGGCAUUUGUGGCUGUAGUUUCAUGAUUAAAUUUUUGUAGUCGUGUUGUCUUGAUUAAAGUUCUAUAUACUAGAGUGCAAGGCCUCUAAACACCAACAAUGUGAAAAUCAUAAAAAAAUAUUUUGAGAAAGGCGGUUCUUGAAUGGAUUUAUCUAUCAUAGUUGUUGCAUAAAAAACAGUGUAGUUAUGUUAGAGUUAUGCUUCAUCUAACUAGUUCACUAGUCCAAUGUCUAGCUCAUUGAAUAAAAGUUGUGAUUCCUAACUAAUAAAAGGAAAUGUGGAUGUGUUUGGAAUUAUACUUUUUCAUCUUUUCCAAGGACUUGUGGAAUUCACUUCUCCUUGAAUUGAUAUGUCCCUAGAAAAAGGGUGUCUUCUGCUUGGGUAGCACCUGAUACGAAAUAUGAAAUAUGCAUGUCCACUGUUUGGAUUGCCUAAAAGAUGUGAAUCCAUAAAAAUUCAGUUGCAGUUUUUGUAUUUUUACCGUACAUUUAAUUCUAUAAUAAUUAGCUUCUGACAUUCAUUCUAAAUUUUAAUAUUUCAAGUGGUAUAGUUGCUUUUUUUACGGAGUAUUUUGGGUGGUAUAUUCAUCUCUAGAGGUUUAAUAAAAUCCCCAUGGAGUCCUAUGGCUGCAUCCAAUACUCGGUUGAAGUGUCUACUGAACUACCUUCAUAACUAAUCUAGAGAUUCUUCAAGUUAUGGCUCAGAGUAUAUAGGAACAUCACUAGUUGUUCAUCUAGCGAUGCUCACAUCGUGUCAUUUAUCUUUCCCAUUUCCUUGAGGAGAUCUUGUACGGUGAAGAAUGCUACCCUACUCAUAUAAAUUUGGUCUCGACAAUGCAUCUCUCUUUUUUCAACGACUACAAGCAGCAAUAGCUGCACUGACCUCACAUAGAGUUGGGAUAUAAACAGCAUACCAAUCUAUCAUCUUCCUCUUCCUCUCAAAUUCAUUAAUUUCCUUCAUUUUGUAGGGCACAUAUGAUAUUUAUUCUCUAAUUUCUAUAAAAAUAAGGAUAUUCAUCUUUAAACUUUAAACUAGAAUAACACAUAUUCUAUCAACACAUACCUUUAAGAUUUAGUGUUCAUCACAUAAAGAGCUUUUGAUAUUCCAUGAAAAUAUGAACAUAUACAACAUAGAGAAACUAGAAGGGAUUUAGAAUUGAAAUUAUUGGUGCCAAGUUACUCAACAAACUAAAACAAACUAUUACAAUGAUUACUACCAAAUCACGUAUUGUGUGGCAGAAAUGCCAAUGCCACAAUAACCAUCAGCUAUAAAAAAAAUACAGAGCUGUUAAAAUGUAAAAUAACUUGAAUAGAAAGACACAUUUUAUGGGGAAAUGCACUUACACAACAAUUCAUAAAUUGAAUACAAUUACUCAAUUUUUAGAUUGUUAGCAUCACAAAAAUAUGUAAACAAAUAUAAUCAUUUUAAACUUCAAACUAAAAUAAGAACCAAGAGAAUCAUCUGAUAAUGUUUCUGAACAUACUUUCAAGCAACCUAAUAUUGGGAUUCCUUUAAGAGCAUGGCAUAAAAGAAAAUUCAUAGGAAACUCCAAAAUAUUUCUGGAAUACAAGUAACUUUAAAAUGGGCGUUUUAUAAUAGUUAUAGUUCAAAAAAAACUCAAGAAAUAGGAAAAUAACCAAGGAACCAUGCGAGAAGAAUUAGAGGUACAUGCUCAUUACAAAGUAAUUGUGCAAUGGGAUAUUCUCUUAAUAUAUUAGAAAAAAGAAAAUUCCAAACUGAAAAGGAGCAUAACCAUGAAUAGAAAUUUCCUUGAUACGAUCAAAUGAUAGGAAAUUCAUGAAAAUGAAAAAAAACCAUCCAUUAAUAUUUCUUAAACAAAGAUAAACUAAAGGAAUUUUGAUUCAAUAUUGUUGGCAUCACAAUAAUUAGGGAUUUUCAUAAUAUUAAUGGCAUCACAAAAUUGAGAACAUAACACUGAGCUAUAUAGCACAAGAUUCUGAAUAAAGCAAUAGAUGGAACUCGAAUGGAUGUCAAAAAUUGAAAAAAUAUCUACAUAUGUAUAUCCAAAUGUGCAUAAUAUACAGAAGAAUGGAUCUAUCGAUAUAGUAAAUCAAUCCAUCUCCAUUAUUUUUUAAAAAAUAAUUGUACAGAGAGAGAGAGAGGGAGGAAGAGAGAGGGUUUUUUAAAAAACAUAGAGAAAAAGAGAGUUUGUUGGAGAGAACAGCGAGAGAGUAUGAAAUCAGAAGGAAAGAACAUUUUGGGGUUUCCUCUGCUCAUACAGAGGACAGGGAGAUGGCCAAAGAUGAGCAAAAUGGGAGAGAGAGAGAGAUGAUUGUUGCUAGAGAGAAAGGGACUACCUUGCAGUGAACUUGGCUAGAUGGGCAAACACGAGAGAGAGAGAGAGGGAGAGAGAGAGAGAGGAGAGAGAUGGUUGUUGCUAGAGAGAAAGGGACUACCUUGCAAUGAACUUGGCUAGAUGCGCAAACAUGAGAGAGAGAGAGAGGCUACAGCUAGAUGGAGAAAGAGAUUGUCUUGCAGUAAGCUUGGUCAUAUGAUGUGGAGGACUGGUGUGUGUGUGUGAGAGACAUAGAGAGAGAACCACCAUGAAGGGGUUUCAGUAAGGAGAGAGCCUAUAGGGUUUCAUCAGCAGGGAUUGACCUACCCACAUUUGUAGGAUUGACUUAUUCCACCAUUUUGGGGGUUAUCCACAUUUUUUAAGGCAAAACAUGGAUUGACUUAUCCUCGUGACUAGGUUAUCCACACUUUUCAAGGCAAAAUAUGGAUUGA